rnacentral:rRNA from 1 species
CCUACGGGGGGCAGCAGUAGGGAAUAUUGCGCAAUGGGGGAAACCCUGACGCAGCAACGCCGCGUGAGUGAGGAAGGUCUUCGGAUUGUAAAACUCUUUUAUUUGGGAAAUGGUACCAAAGGAAUAAGCACCGGCUAACUUCGUGCCAGCAGCCGCGGUAAUACGAAGGGUGCAAGCGUUGUUCGGAAUCAUUGGGCGUAAAGCGCGCGCAGGCGGAUUCGUAAGUCAGAUGUGAAAUCUCGGGGCUCAACCUCGAAACUGCGUCUGAAACUACAAGUCUAGAAUGUCGGAGGGGGCAGGGGAAUUUCACGUGUAGGGGUAAAAUCCGUAGAGAUGUGAAGGAACACCGGAGGCGAAGGCGCCUGCCUGGACGACAUUGACGCUGAGGCGCGAAAGCGUGGGGAGCAAACAGGAUUAGAUACCCUAGUAGUC